rfam:Aedes aegypti strain Liverpool supercont1.55 genomic scaffold, whole genome shotgun sequence.
UGCCCAGCAACUCCUAUCCCUACCUCCUCGCGGUACUGGCCGGGGUACGAGUAACCUCAGGGAAGAUCGGGUAACCAACCCCCGGUGGGAACUUUGGUCGUAUGCUGACAGGGAAGG